GACGAACGCUGGCGGCGUGCCUAAUACAUGCAAGUCGAACGCACUCUCGUUUAGAUUGAAGGAGUUUGCCCCUGAUUGAUAAACAUUUGAGUGAGUGGCGGACGGGUGAGUAACACGUGGGUAACCUGCCCUAAAGUGGGGGAUAACAUUUGGAAACAGAUGCUAAUACCGCAUAAAACCUAACACCGCAUGGUGUAGGGUUGAAAGAUGGUUUCGGCUAUCACUUUAGGAUGGACCCGCGGUGCAUUAGUUAGUUGGUGAGGUAAAGGCUCACCAAGACCGUGAUGCAUAGCCGACCUGAGAGGGUAAUCGGCCACACUGGGACUGAGACACGGCCCAGACUCCUACGGGAGGCAGCAGUAGGGAAUCUUCCACAAUGGACGAAAGUCUGAUGGAGCAACGCCGCGUGAGUGAAGAAGGUUUUCGGAUCGUAAAACUCUGUUGUUGGAGAAGAAUGUAUCUGAUAGUAACUGAUCAGGUAGUGACGGUAUCCAACCAGAAAGCCACGGCUAACUACGUG
rnacentral:rRNA from 1 species